AAGAGGUUUUCGGGUGGUGGGCGAGGACGAAGGCGGGGCCUUAUGUUAAGAUGCGCACCGGCAACGGUUGGUUCACCAGCGAUUUGCCCUCCGUCGCAGCAGCAGCAAACUGUUGGUCAAUGAACCGGGCCGCCCCU
ensembl:ncRNA F38B6.18 ncRNA